rnacentral:rRNA from 1 species
AACGAACGCUGGCGGCAUGCCUAACACAUGCAAGUCGAACGAGACCUUCGGGUCUAGUGGCGCACGGGUGCGUAACGCGUGGGAACUUGCCCUUAGGUUCGGAAUAACUCCCCGAAAGGGGUGCUAAUACCGGAUAAUGUCAUCGGACCAAAGAUUUAUCGCCUUUGGAUGGGCCCGCGUUGGAUUAGCUAGUUGGUAGGGUAAAAGCCUACCAAGGCGACGAUCCAUAGCUGGUCUGAGAGGAUGAUCAGCCACACUGGGACUGAGACACGGCCCAGACUCCUACGGGAGGCAGCAGUGGGGAAUAUUGGACAAUGGGCGAAAGCCUGAUCCAGCAAUGCCGCGUGAGUGAUGAAGGCCUUAGGGUUGUAAAGCUCUUUUACCCGGGAUGAUAAUGACAGUAACGGGAGAAUAAGCUCCGGCUAACUCCGUG